AUUUCUAUUUCUACUUUGCACUUUCUUCCACUACAAAUCUACCAUUCCAGUGUUUUAAUUGCUAUAUUGUAUUUACUUUGCCACCAUGGCCUAUUUAUUGCCUUUACCUCCCUUAUCUCACCUCAUUUGCUCACUUUGUAUAUAGACUUAUUUUUGUACUGUAUUAUUGACUGUAUAUUUGUUUUACUCCAUGUAUAACUCUGUGUUGUUAUAUGUGACAAACUGCUUUGCUUUAUCUUGGCCAGGUCGCAGUUGUAAAUGAGAACUUGUUCUCAACUAGCCUUCCUGGUUAAAUAAAGGUGAAAUAAAUUAAAAUAAAUAAACACACACACACACACACACACACACACACACACACACACACACACACACACACACACACACCACACAUUUAUGGUUAUGAAAAGUUGGACUCAGUUUCAAAUUAUAAAUAUGUCAGUUCUGAGACUGAAUCUGCACUCAAAUGAGACCCCAUUCGCUUUACAGUGCACUGCCUUUGGCCAAUGCCCUAUUGCUAAAAUAAUAAAGCAUUGCACUAUAUCAGAGACACAUAUUUCCCUCAGACUACACAGAUCCACAAAGAAUUUGAAAACAAAAAACUAUAUUUUGAUAAACUCCCAUAUCUACUGGGUGAAAUACCGCAGUGUGCCAUCACAGCAGCAAUAUUUGUGACCUGUUGCCACAAGAAAAGGUCAACCAGUGAAGAACAAACACCGUUGUAAAUACAACCUAUAUUUAAAUGUAUUUAUUUUCCCUUUUGUACUUUAACUAUUUGCACAUCAUUACAACACUGUAUAUAGACAUUAUAUGACAUUUGAAAUGUCUUUAUUCUUUUGGAACUUCUGUGAGUGUAAUGUUUACUGUUAAUUUUAUAUUGUUUAUUUCACUUUUGUUUAUUAUCUACUUCACGUGCUUUGGCAAUGUUAACAUAUGUUUCCCAUUCCAACAAUGCCCUUAAAUUGAAAUGUAAUUUAAUUGAGAGAGAGAGAGAGAGAGAUAAGCAGUGGUCAAGUUAUUAAGAGAGGGAGAGAGAAAGAGGUGUGUGUGUGUGUGUGUGUGUGUGUGUGUACAUGACUACAUGCAUGUAAGUGAGUGAGUGAGACUUGUUUGUUACUGAGCAAAAGGCUUUGGGGAGAAACACUGGGGACUGUCAAAAUGACCAAAAAAUAGCUUAGAAUGCCUUCACUGGCUUCUACUGCUUUUAUAUGCUGACGUCACGGGUUUGAAGAGAGGGGGAGAACAGACAGGAGAGAGAGAGAGAGGAGGAGAGAGAGGAGGAGAGAGGGGGGCCGAGGUAAAGAGAGCGAGGAGGUAGAGGGAGAGCGGGGGAUAGAGAAGGGAGAGGGGGAGAGAGACAGAGAGGAGGGAGAGGGAGAGACAGAGAGAGAGAGGAGGAGAGAGGGGCCGAGGUAAAGAGAGCGAGGAGGGAGAGGGAGAGAGGGGGAUAGAGAAGGGAGAGGGGGAGAGAGAGGAGGGAGAGGGAGAGCGAGAGGAGGGAGGAUAGAGGGAGAGAGGGAUAGAGAGUAGGGAGAGGGGGAGAGGUGGAGUGGGGGACUGAGAGGAGUGGGAGGGACAGAGGAAGAGAGAGAGAGAGGUACAGAGAUGAACAGAAGAAAACUCGAUCAGAAAUAACAGUGUAAAUAUACAGUGCAUUGGGAAAGUAUUCAGACCCCUUGACUUUUUCCACAUUUUGUUAACUUACAUCCAUUUUCUAAAAUGGAUUCGCUUAACGCACACUAACACAGCCUCACACUCAACUGUUACAGUCUAUUAUCUAUCCUUUACCCCUACCUACAGUAUACUGCUGUUACUGUCUAUUAUCUAUCCUUUACCCCUACCUACAGUAUACUGCUGUUAAUGUCUAUUAUCUAUCCUUUACCCCGACCUACAGUAUACUGCUGUUACUGUCU
rnacentral:lncRNA from 1 species